rnacentral:snoRNA from 1 species
AUUCCAUGAUGAGGACAGGCAAAAAUGUACUCCUAGAGACACUCCCAUGCUUUAGAAAUUGUCUCAUUAGCUUGCUAUUGGAAGCUCGAGAUAUUACCAUGAAGGGC